CUAACAAAGAAAAAGAAACAACAACCGCAACAGACUAUGAUAACAAAAAAAAAGCAAAGCAAAUUAACAAACUCUUGUAAAUGUAACGCAAAAUGCAAAAUUAGCUGAAGAUACUACGCAACAACAACAAUAACAACAUGAACUCACUGGCCCAGUGCCACGCCCCCUCCCACCACCACACACUCCAUGCAGCAUCGAGGUACUCCAAAAAAAUAAUAUUUCAAUAAUCUAUAAAAAACAUUAAGAUCAGACAGUCUAUGGGGCACGCAUGUGUGUGUGACACGUGUGCACCUGUGCCAAACAUGCAAAGGAUCUGAGCAUCUUAGUGGCUGUUAGGCAUGUUCCAAUUCCACCUGUUCCAACACAACCCAAUGCAUCUACAAGCGUAUUUCUGCACUCAAUUUAUCACAUUGCCAAACAAAAUCGUAUUCGCUAUACAACUGAACCGGAACAAUAUGAGAACCGAAACAGGCAACCAUAGAAGAGCCUCUCGUCGCACUGGUCUGGAUUGUAGAUAGCAACUCACGCAUAUAUAUGCUGACAAACCGAUUGUGAAAGAGGAAUGUGGAAUUACGAGAACCCAAGCAUAUAUAAUUCUAGUCCUUUGAGGUUAGAUCCAUUCCCAUGAGAUGAAAUGAGAUGAGAGAAAAGUGUAAACGGAAGCAGGUUAGUUCAAUUUGGUUGAUGGGAAUACUUACACACACCAACACACACACACACACCAUCACAUACACACUCAGUGACAACGACAUAGAUAUACAAAAACUGAAUAUAUAACUCACAGAACGCUGGGAAUGAGAGUAUCCUUGUUGUACUUGUUAUUGGAGAUACGUUCAAAUUGAUUGUACCAGAUAUCAUGUUUGCAUGGGAAUGGCAUGUGCUUUGGUGGUUCGCGAUGGUUCGGUACAGCGGUACAACAGAACCAGGGAUCCACGAUCCAAUCACGAUCCGUUCUAAUGCGAGUUUUGCCAGCCGAUCAGGGUCAGGGUUGCAUUAAGCUUGAAUUGUUCUAUACGUUAACGGUUAAUCCGACCCAGAGUCAUUUAGUCACUAGGAAGAGUGAAAUAAUUGAAAGAAUUCAAAAUUUGAACCUGCCUAAAGGCCCGAUCACACUGAACAACACAUGAACCGGUUAUUGAGGCUUUCCGAGACUCGCAAGUGCGUCAGGAUUCAACGGAUGCGCAUGUUCUUCCAGUCUUCAAUCGGCGAUCGGCAAGUGGCAAGCUCCGUUUCGGAGAGCGAGAGAACACAUAUGCCUGGGCCCCAAAUGUGGAGCCACUCCAGGUAACUUGCUUUGCCAACCCACAACAAACACCAGUUAUGUUUCUUCAAGACAGACGAAUGCAGACGCCAUGGAGUGCCUAGUCAAAGGAGCAACGAGUAGCGAGUAACGAGUAGUGAGAAUAACGAGUAACGAGUAGCGAGCAGCGAGAGUGACGGGCUCACUGUAUCUUCCACUCAUGUUAACUGUAUUAAGGCAUGAGAUACGAGGUGAAUUUCAAUUUAUCUCACUUUUUCUACAUAUAUAUAUCUAUAUAUAUAUAUUUUAUAUAUGUAUAUAUAUACAUAUAUAAUUUAUAAAUUGCUCCCACUCCAUCAUCCUUCUCUGUUUGUUGCCAAACAAACACGAU